ACGCACGCUGGCGGCAGGCCUAACUCCUGCAAGUCGAGCGGACCCUUCGGGGUUAGCGGCGGACGGGUGAGUCACGCGUGGGAAUAUGCCCUUCUCUACGGAAUAGUCCUGGGAAACUGGGGGUAAUACCGUAUACGCCCUUUGGGGGAAAGAUUUAUCGGGGAAGGAUUAGCCCGCGUUGGAUUAGGUAGUUGGUGGGGUAAUGGCCUACCAAGCCGACGAUCCAUAGCUGGUUUGAGAGGAUGAUCAGCCACACUGGGACUGAGACACGGCCCAGACUCCUACGGGAGGCAGCAGUGGGGAAUCUUAGACAAUGGGGGCAACCCUGAUCGAGCCAUGCCGCGUGAGUGAUGAAGGCCUUAGGGUUGUAAAGCUCUUUCAGCUGGGAAGAUAAUGACGGUACCAGCAGAAGAAGCCCCGGCUAACUCCGUG
rnacentral:rRNA from 1 species